UCGUCAGGUGGGAUAAUCCUUACCUGUUCCUCCCUUGGAGGACAGAUUUCAGAACAUGAUGAUUGGAGAAUGCAUGAAACGUGAUUAACGUCUCUGCGUAAUCGGGACCUGCAACACCCUGAUUACUCCUAUCUGAU
rnacentral:snoRNA from 1 species